CCUACGGGUGGCAGCAGUGAGGAAUAUUGGUCAAUGGGCGAGAGCCUGAACCAGCCAAGCCGCGUGAGGGAUGAAGGUCCUAUGGUUUGUAACCUUCUUUUAUAUGGGAAUAAAGUCAGGAUCGUGUUCCGUUGUGUAUGUACCAUAUGAAUAAGCGAAGCCUAACGCCGCUCCAGCAGCCGCGGUAAUGCGGAGGGGGCGAGCGUUAUCCGGAUUUAUUGGGUUUAAAGGAAGCGUAGGUGGUAAAUUAAGUCAGCGGUGAAAGUUUGUGGCUCAACCAGAAAACUGCCGUUGAAACUGGUUAACUUGAGUGUGUGUGAGGUUAGCGGAAUGCGUGGUGUAGCAGUGAAAUGCAUAGAUAUCACGAAGAACUUCGAUUGCGAAGGCAGCUUACUAACAUAUAACUGACGCUGAAGCACGAAAGCGUGGGGAUCAAACAGGAUUAGAUACCCUGGUAGUC
rnacentral:rRNA from 1 species